rnacentral:tRNA from 1 species
AGGGUAUUAGUAAAAAUAUUACACCGCCUUGUCAAGACGAAAUUGCAAGUUAAAAUCUUGUAUACCCUU